GGUGGGUCUUCUCCAAUUCGACACUGCUUCCACCUUUUGGGGAUCCACACUAACUCCUUCUGCCGAAAUCACAUGACCCAAGAACCCCACUUUAUCAAGCCAAAACUCACACUUGCUAAACUUAGCAAUAACUGCGACUUUUCCAAAGUCCGCAAUAUUAUUCUUAGAUGCUUGGCAUGCUCUUUCUUACUUCUUGAGUAAACCAAAAUGUCAUCUAUAAAUACGAUCACGAAACGAUCAAGGUAUGGACUAAACACCCUAUUCAUGAGAUCCAUGAACGCCGCGGGUGCAUUAGUAAGUCCAAAAGGCAUCACCUCAAAUUCAUAAUGACCAUAACGUGAUCGGAAAGCAGUCUUGGCUAUGUCACCCUCUCGGAUCCGCAACUGAUGAUACCCCGAUCUCAAAUCAAUCUUGGAGAAAACAGAGGUACCCCUCAACUGAUCAAAUAAAUCAUCGAUCCGAGGCAACGGAUAUUUAUUCUUCACUGUGACCUGAUUCAGCUUCCUAUAAUCAAUGCAUAGUCUCAUGGUGCCAUCUUUCUUCUUAACAAACAACACCGGAGCACCCCAUGGAGACAUGCUAGGCCGAAUAAAACCCUUAUCUACCAACUCCUGCAAUUGAGUCUUCAACUUUUUCAAUUCCGCUGGAGCCAUUCUGUAAGGCGCCUGAGAGAUCGGCAUAGUUCCGGGAAGUAAUUCUAUAGAGAAGUCUAUAUCCCUUGCAGGAGGCAAACCAGGCAACUCCUCAGGAAAACAUCCGGAAACUCUCUUACUACAGGAAUAUCUUCUAAUCCCACAACUCACAUGCUUGUAUCCACCACAUGAGCUAGAAAUGCCUGACAGCCUUUACUCAACAAUUUCCUUGCAGCAACAGCGGAAAUUAUGCAACUAAAAAUAACAUCUCUUUCCCCUUGGAAAGCAACCUCAAAACCAUCUGGACUUCGAAGCACCACUACUUUUUGAAAACAAUCUACCAUAGCUCUAUAUGCUUCCAAAAAGUCCAUUCCCAAUAUCACAUCAAACUCCACUAUAUCUAAAGGAAUUAAAUCAGCCUCGAAAAUAACUCCUUCCACUACCACUUCACAGCCACUAAAAACCCAAUUUAUUCUCAUCACCUCACCGGAGGGUAGAGACACACGCCACUCGCCUGGAAGAGACGAGGAUGGCACAUUGGCAUGGAGGGCAAAUCUACUAGACAUGAAUGAAUGCGUGGCUCCGGGAUCAAUUAAAGUAAAAGCAGGCUGACCAAAAAUCAAUAACGUACCAAUGAUAACAUCUGGAGAAGUACGACCCUCCUGCAGGGUCAUAGCA
rnacentral:lncRNA from 1 species